GAUGAAGAACGUAGCGAAAUGCGAUACUUGGUGUGAAUUGCAGAAUCCCGUGAACCAUCGAGUCUUUGAACGCAAGUUGCGCCUCAAGCCAUUAGGUUGAGGGCACGUCUGCCUGGGCGUCACAUAUCGUUGCCUGAUGCCAGUUUCCUCGUGAUGGGUGACUGUGCAGGGCGAAUGAUGGCUUCCCGUGAGCAUUGUUGCCUCAUGGUUGGUUGAAAAUUGAGUCCUUGGUAGGGAGCGCCGUGAUAGAUGGUGGUUGAGUGACGAACGAGACCCAAUCAUGUGAGACCCCUACCGAAUUUGGCCUUCAUGACCCACAUGCGUCUUUGGAACGCUCAUGACGAGACCUCAGGUCAGGCAGGGCUACCCGCUGAGUUUAAGCAUAUCAAUAAGCGGAGGA
rnacentral:misc_RNA from 1 species